GACGAACGCUGGCGGCGUGCCUAAUACAUGCAAGUAGAACGCUGAAGGAGGAGCUUGCUCUUCUGGAUGAGUUGCGAACGGGUGAGUAACGCGUAGGUAACCUGCCUGGUAGCGGGGGAUAACUAUUGGAAACGAUAGCUAAUACCGCAUAAGAGUAGAUGUUGCAUGACAUUUACUUAAAAGGUGCAAUUUCAUCACUACCAGAUGGACCUGCGUUGUAUUAGCUAGUUGGUGGGGUAACGGCUUACCAAGGCGACGAUACAUAGCCGACCUGAGAGGGUGAUCGGCCAAACUGGGACUGAGACACGGCCCAGACUCCUACGGGAGGCAGCAGUAGGGAAUCUUCGGAAAUGGACGGAAGGCUGACCGAGCAACGCCGCGUGAGUGAAGAAGGGUUUCGGAUCGUAAAGCUCUGUUGUAAGAGAAGAACGAGUGUGAGAGUGGAAAGUUCACACUGUGACGGUAUCUUACCAGAAAGGGACGGCUAACUACGUG
rnacentral:rRNA from 1 species